rnacentral:rRNA from 1 species
GACGAACGCUGGCGGCGUGCUUAACACAUGCGAGUCGAGCGAUGAAGUUCCUUCGGGAAUGGAUUAGCGGCGGACGGGUGAGUAACACGUGGGUAACCUGCCUCGUAGAGGGGAAUAGCCUUCCGAAAGGAAGAUUAAUACCGCAUAAGAUUGUAGUACCGCAUGGUAUAGUAAUUGAAGGAGUAAUCCGCUAUGAGAUGGACCCGCGUCGCAUUAGCUAGUUGGUGAGGUAACGGCUCACCAAGGCGACGAUGCGUAGCCGACCUGAGAGGGUGAUCGGCCACAUUGGGACUGAGACACGGCCCAGACUCCUACGGGAGGCAGCAGUGGGGAAUAUUGCACAAUGGGGGAAACCCUGAUGCAGCAACGCCGCGUGAGUGAUGACGGUCUUCGGAUUGUAAAGCUCUGUCUUCAGGGACGAUAAUGACGGUACCUGAGGAGGAAGCCACGGCUAACUACGUGCCAGCCGCCGCAGUAA